rnacentral:rRNA from 1 species
GCCUACGGGGCGCAGCAGUGAGGAAUAUUGGUCAAUGGCCGCAGGGCUGAACCAGCCAAGUCGCGUGAGGGAUGACGGUCCUAUGGAUUGUAAACCUCUUUUGUCAGGGAGCAAAGGGCGCCACGUGUGGCGUUUUGCGAGUACCUGAAGAAAAAGCAUCGGCUAACUCCGUGCCAGCAGCCGCGGUAAUACGGAGGAUGCGAGCGUUAUCCGGAUUUAUUGGGUUUAAAGGGUGCGUAGGCGGAUUUUUAAGUCAGCGGUAAAAUGUCCGGGCUCAACCCGGGCCGGCCGUUGAAACUGGGGAU